rnacentral:misc_RNA from 1 species
UAGCAUUCCAUGGUCGACUAUCGGCACUGCAUGGACGAAUCCAAAACAACACCGAUUGUCGUUCGCACAUAGCGUGGGACGCUUUUUCAGGGGCAAAUAGAGACCGAUGAUGCCUCGUACCCACGAGGUACUCCGUGACCGAGAGAACGAACGCGGUGCCAUCGAUCCAACAACACAAAAACAUCGAAGCAAUUGCGGCUGGAUCAUGGCAUUCGCUUCGAAGUUCACCCCGUGCCACGAACCCAAGGGCUCGCAACUUAAGGGCGAAAGGGCGCAAUUAAUCCAACGAAUUCCCAAACUUUGGGUAUAUAACACAGGAAACCUAGCUCGGCCAAGAANUUUUUCCUCUUGAACCAAUCGCUGAAAAGGCGUGGUGGAUACAUUUUCGCUGCGCAAGCAGGGACUAAACAUACCCAUACACACCAGACACCACU